GACGAACGCUGGCGGCGUGCUUAACACAUGCAAGUCGAACGGCAAGGCCCCUUUGGGGGUACUCGAGUGGCGAACGGGUGAGUAACACGUGAGUAACCUGCCCUUGACUUCGGGAUAACUUCAGGAAACUGGGGCUAAUACCGGCUAGGAAUCCUUGCUGCAUGGUGGGGGUUGGAAAGCUUCUGCGGUUUUGGAUGGUCUCGCGGGUUAUCAGCUUGUUUGUGGGGUAGUGGCUUACCAAGGCGUUGACGGGUAGCCGGCCUGAGAGGGCGACCGGCCACAUUGGGACUGAGAUACGGCCCAGACUCCUACGGGAGGCAGCAGGGGGGAAUAUUGCACAAUGGGCGGAAGCCUGAUGCAGCAACGCCGCGGGCGGGAUGACGGCCUUCGGGUUGUAAACCGCUUUCAGCAGGGGCGAAGCUUGUGGUGACGGUACCUGCAGAAGAAGCACCGGCUAACUACGUG
rnacentral:rRNA from 1 species